UGUCCCUACGGGACGCAGCAGUGAGGAAUAUUGGUCAAUGGUCGGGAGACUGAACCAGCCAAGCCGCGUGAGGGAUCAAGGUACAGAGUAUCGUAAACCCCUUUUGUCAGGGAACAAAGGCGGGGACGUGUCCCCGGAUGAGUGUACCUGAAGAAAAAGCAUCGGCUAACUCCGUGCCAGCAGCCGCGGUAAUACGGAGGACGCGAGCGUUAUCCGGAUUUAUUGGGUUUAAAGGGUGCGCAGGCGGUCUGUUAAGUCAGCGGUCAAAGCCCGGGGCUCCACCC
rnacentral:rRNA from 1 species